UCCAUUCACUACACAGUCCUACACAGCUGAGGACCUGUGCAGACUGCUGCAAGACAGACUCUGGAGAGCACAGCACGGACAACUUUCUCCCACAUGAAUUUCUGAGAGGAUCUUCUCGUUUGGAUUAUAUUCUUUCAGGACUAUUAAACACUAGUCGUGCGCCUCGCGCCUGCGUAAUUCCAGCAGAUAUAUCAAGAUUAAGUCGGUGAACUGGUCUGAAGUUUGAAGUCUGUCUGAUAGAGGGUGAAGGACAAGUGCAAUGCGCGUCAGGCUCGUCUCCUGGGAUUGUCCAAUUUGCGCCUGAGGAGCUACACGCCACUCGCAGAGCUUGUUCAAGAGGACGCAGUCCAAUGUGAAUAACAAAAGAGUCCACUUCCAGCCUCUCCAGCUUUUCUCACAAGCAAGUGGAGUCGGACAGAGCCGAGCUGAGCUGCUCUGACACCCUGCACUUCUCUCCCCGAGGGGAUGGUUGUGGAUCCUGUGGGGCCAGGAGCGAUUCUGCGGCUCCUACAGAACAGCACCGUUUUCUUGUGCGGGGUUAAAUCUAAAUUAAAGGGAGAUGAGAGCCGCACUUUGUUACUUCCUGCUGUGGACGACGUACCUGCUGGCCACCUCUGAGGAAGUGGAGUUUCCCCAGGAGCUGAUAGACAGGCUGUCCCACAGUGAAAUCCACAGCAUCAGCGACCUCCAGCGGCUACUGGACAUUGACUCCGUAGGUACGGGAAACGAUGUCAUUGAGGAGCCCAAGCACCACAAACACAACAGCCACCAUAAGAACUACUCCCGCCAUCCUGGUUACUACAAUGACCUGAAGAGCUCCCAGCUCCACAGCCGGCGCAAGAGGAGCCUCGUGGAGGAGGCGGUCCCGGCGGUGUGUAAGACGCGCACGGUGAUCUACGAGAUCCCCAGGAGCCAGGUGGACCCCACGUCGGCCAACUUCCUGAUAUGGCCGCCCUGUGUGGAGGUGAAGCGCUGCACAGGCUGCUGCAACACAAGCAACAUGCGCUGUCACCCUUCCCGCAAGCACCACCGCACCGUUAAGGUAGCGAAGGUGGAGUACGUGAGGAGGAGACCCAAGCUGAAAGAGGUUUUUGUGCGGUUAGAAGACCACCUGGAGUGUGUGUGCACGUCACAGCAUCAUGUGGUGGAGCACUCAGAUGCAGAAACAGGCCACCGUAGGUCUAAAGGUAGAAAAAGGAAACCAAAAAAGCUAAGGCCCAGCAAGGAUUUAUUGGCGACAUAAUAAAGUUGCACUCAUUACCCAAAGUCCAACUGGAGAGCUGUGAAGGGAACAGUGGACGUGAGGUGAGACCAAUCAGAACAAGGGACUUCAGCGUGGGAGGGACCUAAACAGAGGAUGCCACCAACAGGAGGCCUGCUCUUUCCUCUUCCUCGUCUCCAUGCAAGCUUUGUUUAAAAAACCCCAAACUUUUCUGUAAAGACAAAAGACUGAGAAAACAGACAGAAAUAAAUGAGAUGCCAAAGGUGCUUUUUCUUAAAAAACAAAAAAAAAAACAAACAAAAAAAAAAACAAAAAAAAACAGCAACCAGUGAUCAUGACUUCCUCUGUGGUACGCCAUCUACCCAGACAACUGAACCCUGUUGAGGUCGCUGAUAAAGACGAAUAGAGAAAGAGCUGUAAAAAGACGCCGGAGGGAGACGAUGAAAGGGAUUUGUGUUGAACAUUUUAACAGACUUUUCGUUUGAACGAGAUGCACAACAGAAUGGCUAGGUUGGAGUGAGCUCUCAUGGAAAUCUGGUGCUUGGACUUGAAAAACAGCGGUGGAUGUUCCUCCAGCUGGGCAACAUAAAAGUGCCCUGCCCUGUUUGAAUGACUCUUAUAUACACAGGAAGAAAGAACAAGCGAAAUAGGGAAAACAAUGGAAAGAAAGAGACAAGUGGAGGUGGUUUUUAUUAAAGACUCCAUGGAGUGUCAAACAUUUUGAGUUUUGGGAUGUUUGCUCGAAGAGGAAAUCUUCUGUGAGACCCGUGCCGGUCCACCACUUGCUAUGUACAGUUCAAUUUUGAGAAGGAAGAUGCGCCGCUACUUACAAACUAUUUAUACGUGUGGACGUUUGCUAUCUGUCUCUUCCCGUACCAAGAAAGAAAGAACAAAAAAGAUGUUUUCAUGAUUUUUGAGGAAUGCAAGAGUUCUGUGUGGUCCGGUUCUCUGUAACCAUCAGUAUCACAAUCUCAAUGUCUUUUUUUUUUUUUUUUUUUUUUUUUUUUUAGUCAAUGUUAUUCUUGUCAUCCAUGUUUCUUAUUAUAUUACAGUAUAUCUGAAUGAUGUCAAGUCUUGUAUAUGGUUUGGACAUAUGUUUGCAAGGAGGAGAUGUGAGAGUCAGUACAGGAAGAUGCUUUAUUUUUGUUAUGAAAUAUAUUAAGCUUACUUAUAUCCAAGCAGGAAUUAUGUUCAUUUCUUUUUUGUUGCGGUUGAAUUCUUGUAUUUAAUCCACCAGAAAAAGAUGCAAAAGUGUGGGCAAGGGGGAAGAAAAGAGGAUGGAUACAGGGGCUCAAACAUGGCAACUUCACAGUUAAUAUCCGAACUGCAGCUUUACCCUACAGCCAUGAGCGCGCCGCCUGAUCGCUGAUGCUACGUUUCACAGAAACAUGAAAACAGCAUAUUAAAAGGUGCAAUAUGUAAGAAUUAUACAUUUAAAAAAAAGACUGAGAUUAUAAACAGAAUGUGAAGAAAUAUUAGUUUUGACAUCAUGUUGCUAACCAACUAGCCUGUGAACACCGGCACUGCCCAGUGAUCUUAGCUCACAGUCAUGGCACGCUUGAGUCAGCUAAUAAGACAGGCUACAGCUAGCUACAUGGCUAACUUAGCUAACCAGCUAAAGGCAGCUGCAGUGAGCAGCAGUUAGUGGUCAGUGUUGUGAUAUGUUGCCCUUCUUUGUUUUGAGUGUAAAUUUAACAGGAGGCUUACAUAUUGCACCUUUAAAGUGUCUUCAUGCCAUGUCACAAACAAGAAAAUGUUAGCGCUGCUCUGGUGUGCACAUGAGCCUGUACGAGGUGGGAUCGACAUGGUAUAUGUGCACUCACACACGAUUUCUCACCCGCAUGAGCCUAUUUUUCACCCAUAUCACUCCGACAUUGAUAAGGAAGAUGCCCGCCCGUCCUGCUUCACAAGCACACAUGUUGUGCCUGCAGGGAGCAAAGUCCACCUUGAAGAGUGAAUGAGUGAGCGAAGCAAAUCGACAAGUGCAUGAAUGGGCUCCUUGUGUAGCCAGGCUUUACUCCUCUGUUGACAAGAGAACAAAUGUCCGAUUACUCCACCCUGUGAUGGUGCCCACAGGACGGAUGAUGAUGAGGUGGUCUGAAAACAGUGUGACAGCGCAGGCCCCAGCCUGAACAAUUACUUCCUUACCAGUUCCUGUAAGAGUGAUGAAUGUGUAACCAGGCCAACAGAGUACAACAGUCGUCUUCCACCCUGUGUUCAAAUGAGGAAGUCUGACGGAGAUUUUUCUAAAGGCAACAGAGUGAGUCACUGUUAAGUGAGUCACUUGAAAGUCAAACGAGGAAAGGUUUGAUUGAAAAAUGGCUGAUAAUCGGAUCUCUCUCUCACACACACUGGUGCUAUAUUUACGAAGAUGAUUUUCCAUCACUGUUCACAUUCACAUCAGUGUAAGAGAAGUGUUCUCACUGAACCAGGGACCACACUUACUGUAGAGCUAAACGCCUUCACGCUAUCACUAAGCUUUAUUAUUUUUCGGUUGGGCUUCCAUUGGACAAAGACAGCAAUAAUCAUAAUUUAUCUAUUUAUGUUUUCAACAAUAAAUAUAUUUCUGCUUAUGAAAAUGUUCACUGAA